rnacentral:rRNA from 1 species
CGGGCGUGCCUAACACAUGCAAGUCGUACGAGAAAGCCGGCUUCGGCUGGUGAGUAAAGUGGCGCACGGGUGAGUAACGCGUGGAUAAUCUGCCCUUAAGUGUGGAAUAACGUACCGAAAGGUGCGCUAAUACCGCAUAAUGCCUGGCAACACAAGUUGUCCGGCCAAAGAAGGCCUCUGUUUACAAGCUUUCGCUUCAGGAUGAGUCCGCGUACCAUUAGCUUGUUGGUGGGGUAAUGGCCUACCAAGGCUGCGAUGGUUAGCUGGUCUGAGAGGAUGAUCAGCCACACUGGAACUGAGACACGGUCCAGACUCCUACGGGAGGCAGCAGUGAGGAAUAUUGCGCAAUGGGGGCAACCCUGACGCAGCAACGCCGCGUGAGUGAGGAAGGUUUUCGGACUGUAAAGCUCUGUCGAGCGGGAAGAAGUGUACCAUGGCUAAUAUCCAUGAUAUUUGACGGUACCGCUAGAGGAAGCACCGGCUAACUCCGUG